rnacentral:rRNA from 1 species
GACGAACGCUGGCGGCGUGCCUAAUACGUGCAAGUCGAACGCUGAAGGAGGAGCUUGCUUCUCUGGAUGAGUUGCGAACGGGUGAGUAACGCGUAGGUAACCUGCCUGGUAGCGGGGGAUAACUAUUGGAAACGAUAGCUAAUACCGCAUAAUAGUAGAUGUUGCAUGACAUUUGCUUAAAAGGUGCAAUUGCAUCACUACCAGAUGGACCUGCGUUGUAUUAGCUAGUUGGUGGGGUAACGGCUCACCAAGGCGACGAUACAUAGCCGACCUGAGAGGGUGAUCGGCCACACUGGGACUGAGACACGGCCCAGACUCCUACGGGAGGCAGCAGUAGGGAAUCUUCGGCAAUGGACGGAAGUCUGACCGGGCAACGCCGCGUGAGUGAAGAAGGUUGUCGGAUCGUAAAGCUCUGUUGUAAGAGAAGAACGAGUGUGAGAGUGGAAAGUUCACACUGUGACGGUAGCUUACCAGAAAGGGACGGCUAACUACGUG